CACACACACACACACACACACAGUCACGCAGUGGUUCUCAAACUGUGGUACGGGUACCACUGGUGGUACGCGGACUCCUUCUAGUGGUACUCCAGGAGUCUCCAAGAUUUUUUGUUAUAAAGAUGACAUAAUCACUUCAAAUUAUAUCAAUA